rnacentral:rRNA from 1 species
GUCCUUUAGAUUAUAAUUUAAGGUCUAACCUGCCCACUGAUAUAAUUAAAUGGCCGCAGUAUUUUAACUGUGCAAAGGUAGCAUAAUCAUUAGUUUCUUAAUUAGAAGCUGGAAUGAAUGGUUGAACGAGAAAUUAACUGUCUCUAUUUAUUAAUUAAAAUUUUAUUUUUAAGUCAAAAAGCUUAAAUUUAUUUAAAAGACGAGAAGACCCUAUAGAGUUUUAUAAUUAUUUAAAUUUUUAUUAUAGAAUAUUUUUUAUUAAAAUAAUUAUUUUAUUGGGGUGAUAUAUAAAUUAAAGUAACUUUAUAUUUUUUUAUACAUAAAUUUAUGAAUUUUUGAUCCAUAGUUGAUGAUUAAAAGAAAAAAUUACCUUAGGGAUAACAGCGUUAUUUUUUUUUAGAGUUCUAAUCGAAAAAAAAGAUUGCGACCUCGAUGUUGGAUUAAAGUUAAUUUUUGGUGUAGAAGCUAAAAAAUUAGGUCUGUUCGACCUUUAAAACUUUACAUGAUCUGAGUUUAAACCGGCGUGAGCCAGGUUGGUUUCUAUCUUUAAAAAAUUUGAAUAUUUUAGUACGAAAGGACCAAAUAUUCUUAAAAUUUAAUUUAUAUUGAAUA